AGCUCAAAGUUGGAAUCCGACUGCCCUAGGUAGUUGGAGUUGUAAACUGGAGAGGUGUUUUCCAGGCGAGCCAAGCAAAUAAGUCCUUUGGAACGGGGCAUCAUAGAGGGUGAGAAUCCCGUCUUUGGCUUGAGCUAUUCGUCUUUUGUGAUACACUUUCAAAGAGUCAGGUUGUUUGGGAAUGCAGCCUAAAUUGGGUGGUAAAUCUCACCUAAAGCUAAAUAUGGGCGAGAGACCGAUAGCGAACAAGUACCGUGAGGGAAAGAUGAAAAGAACUUUGAAAAGAGAGUUAAACAGUAUGUGAAAUUGUUGAAAGGGAACCGUUUGGAGCCAGACCGGCCGUUCUAUAAUCAAUCUCUGCUUCGGUGGGGAUGCACUUGUAGGACGUUGGCCUGCCAACAGCAAUUUUGUCUGGUGGAAAAAACCAGGAGGAAUGUGGCCCUUCGGGGUGUUAUAGCCUCUUGGAAAAUACACUGGAUGGGAUUGAGGACUGCAGCAGAUGCCUCUCGGGGCGAAAUACCUGGGUGCUUGUGUUGAGGACGUGUAGAAUCUCUGCUUUGGGGUGGUGCUACGCUCUGAUGUACAACUCGCUUGGAGUAU
rnacentral:rRNA from 1 species